GCCGGGGUGCCCGAGUGGUCAAGGGGCAGGCCUGGAGUCGACUGGACUGAGAGCCUGUGGGCGAAAGCCCUCGUGGGUUCGAAUCCCACCCCCGGCG
rnacentral:tRNA from 1 species